CAGUCGCCACGGGAAUACGGAGGGUGCAAGCGUUAAUCGGAAUUACUGGGCGUAAAGCGCACGCAGGCGGUCUGACAAGUCAGAUGUGAAAUCCCCGGGCUUAACCUGGGAACUGCAUUUGAAACUGUCAGGCUGGAGUCUUGUAGAGGGGGGUGGAAUUCCAGGUGUAGCGGUGAAAUGCGUAGAGAUCUGGAGGAAUACCGGUGGCGAAGGCGGCCCCCUGGACAAAGACUGACGCUCAGGUGCGAAAGCGUGGGGAGCAAACAGGAUUAGAUACCCUUGUAGUCCCUGUCUCUUAUAC
rnacentral:rRNA from 1 species